rnacentral:rRNA from 1 species
ACAGAGGUCCCGAGCGUUGUUCGGAUUCACUGGGCGUAAAGGGUGCGUAGGCGGUCGGAUAAGUCUAACGUGAAAGCCCGCAGCUUAACUGCGGAAUGGCGUCGGAUACUAUUCGGCUGGAGGGUGGGAAGGGGGACUGGAAUUCUCGGUGUAGCAGUGAAAUGCGUAGAUAUCGAGAGGAACACCAGCGGCGAAGGCGAGUCCCUGGACCACUCCUGACGCUGAGGCACGAAAGCUAGGGGAGCAAACAGGAUUAGAUACCCUGGUAGUCCUAGCCCUAAACGGUGCAUGUUUGCUGUAAAAGGAAUCGACCCCUUUUGUGGCGAAGCUAACGCGUUAAACAUGCCGCCUGGGAAGUACGGCCGCAAGGUUA